CGGAAUUACUGGGCGUAAAGCGCGCGUAGGUGGCUUGAUAAGCCGGUUGUGAAAGCCCCGGGCUCAACCUGGGAACGGCAUCCGGAACUGUCAAGCUAGAGUGCAGGAGAGGAAGGUAGAAUUCCCGGUGUAGCGGUGAAAUGCGUAGAGAUCGGGAGGAAUACCAGUGGCGAAGGCGGCCUUCUGGAYUGACACUGACACUGAGGUGCGAAAGCGUGGGUAGCAAACAGGAUUAGAUACCCUGGUAGUCCACGCCGUAAACGAUGUCGACCAGCCGUUGGGUGCCUAGCGCACUUUGUGGCGAAGUUAACGCGAUAAGUCGACCGCCUGGGGAGUACGGCCGCAAGGUUAAAACUCAAAUGAAUUGACGGGGGCCCGCACAAGCGGUGGAGCAUGUGGUUUAAUUCGAUGCAACGCGAAGAACCUUACCUACUCUUGACAUCCUGCGAAUUCGGUAGAGAUACCUUAGUGCCUUCGGGAACGCAGAGACAGGUGCUGCAUGGCUGUCGUCAGCUCGUGUUGUGAAAUGUUGGGUUAAGUCCCGUAACGAGCGCAACCCUUGUCCUUAUUUGCCAGCGCGUAAUGGCGGGAACUCUAAGGAGACUGCCGGUGACAAACCGGAGGAAGGUGGGGACGACGUCAAGUCAUCAUGGCCCUUACGAGUAGGGCUACGCACGUGCUACAAUGGUCGGUACAAAGGGUUGCCAACUCGCGAGAGUGAGCCAAUCCCGAAAAGCCGAUCUCAGUCCGGAUCGGAGUCUGCAACUCGACUCCGUGAAGUCGGAAUCGCUAGUAAUCGUGGAUCAGAAUGCCACGGUGAAUACGUUCCCGGGCCUUGUACACACCGCCCGUCACACCAUGGGAGUGGACUGCACCAGAAGUGGUUAGCCUAACGCAAGAGGGCGAUCACCACGGUGUGGUUCAUGACUGGGGUGAAGUCGUAACAAGGUAACCG
rnacentral:rRNA from 1 species